UCUAGAACUCGAGAUAUGGUCUGAACAUUGAACAGUGUUUGGGCUGCAGGUCAGAUUCCGACUUCUCUGUUAUUGCUAUAAUUUGAACUUGAAAACGGCCUUCUUGAAUCUUGGACUCUUCAUGAAAUUUUUAGGCCUAUGUUUUAGCUUUCCAUC
rfam:Populus trichocarpa scaffold_15_contig_132, whole genome shotgun sequence.